UGUAGUUGCUGUUUGAGUGUUUGAUAAUCGAACAUCUGUAAUGGCUGACGAGAAUGACUGCCCGUGCUGUAAUCUACCCGAAUGGCUGGAGAUCUUUGUUCGAUUUUUACACUCUGUGUCAAAAUCUAAACUAUUCUGCCACCAAGCCAACCCAAAUCUGUGUCUGUCAGCUCAAAUGGAGCCACUUGUGGUAUGUACGGAG